GACGAACGCUGGCGGCGUGCUUAACACAUGCAAGUCGAACGGAAAGGCCCUGCUUUUGUGGGGUGCUCGAGUGGCGAACGGGUGAGUAACACGUGAGUAACCUGCCCUUGACUUUGGGAUAACUUCAGGAAACUGGGGCUAAUACCGGAUAGGAGCUCCUGCUGCAUGGUGGGGGUUGGAAAGUUUCGGCGGUUGGGGAUGGACUCGCGGCUUAUCAGCUUGUUGGUGGGGUAGUGGCUUACCAAGGCUUUGACGGGUAGCCGGCCUGAGAGGGUGACCGGCCACAUUGGGACUGAGAUACGGCACAGACUCCUACGGGAGGCAGCAGUGGGGAAUAUUGCACAAUGGGCGGGAGCCUGAUGCAGCAACGCCGCGUGCGGGAUGACGGCCUUCGGGUUGUAAACCGCUUUCGCCUGUGACGAAGCGUGAGUGACGGUAAUGGGUAAAGAAGCACCGGCUAACUACGUG
rnacentral:rRNA from 1 species